CCCCCCCCCCCCCGUGUGCGUGAUGACAGAUGAGAACUGUUGUCAGAGUCACCGGAGGGUGUGAAUGUCUACACUUCAGGAGGUUUCAUGACCCAGGGGCAAAGCAGACCUUCGCAGGCUCCGCAAAAGGUCAUAAAUUCAGAGGCAUCGCAGGGGAACGGAGCAGGUCCUCCACUUCCUGGAGUUGGAUGUAGGUCUGAGGUGUUUUGAAGGUCACUGACGAUGCACAGAACGUCUGGUGGAGGCAGCCGCAGCGCUACCAGCACUGCUGCCCUUUACUGCAUCGCGACGUUCUCACUCGUCCGACCCGGAGAUGGGGAACGCCAGAGAAAACACACUAACUGACAACUCUGCUGCCAAUCUGUCAUUGUUUAUAGAUACAUCAAUGACACGUUUAUGUCUAACACAUAAUCCUACACAGCCGGCUGUUCAGUCAAAACUAUGCUUGAACCUAAUCAGGCUUUUGUUCCCUCUUUCACAACAAAGCACGCGAUAAACCUGAACUCCUAGGAUCUUGACUCUGACGUGUGACUUUGUGGCCCUACGCGUGACCUUCGACCCGGUCGACAUCAUUCAUCAUCAAGCCGGGGUCCUUGACUCCGUUGUGAAGGGCCUUUGAAGUGAUCUGAAUGGACCUCCCGCCUCACCUUCAUUGUCAGUCCACUGAGUCUUGACCUGCGCUCCCGAUGGUAUGUCGGGCCCCAUCUGUGAAUGCGCUGCCACAUGGCAUGACAGACGCUGAAAGGCGUUAAAUGCAUCAACACAAACAUCAAGAGGCUCCUUCACUUUACUCGAACCUAACGUCUGCGUGGCGCCGGGACCAUUCCUGCGAUUGCAGGGUCUCACUGACAGAUAUUUAGGAGCUGAACACGUCAUGCUGCAUGUCCAACGUCCAAAUAAAAAAAAAAAAAAGAAAAUCCAUGGGUUU